rnacentral:rRNA from 1 species
CCCUUAGAUGUUCUGGGCCGCACGCGCGCUACACUGACGAAUGCAACGAGCUUAUAACCUUGGCCGAAAGGUCUGGGUAAUCUCCAAAUUUCGUCGUGAUGGGGAUAGAUUAUUGCAAUUAUUAAUCUUCAACGAGGAAUGCCUAGUAAGCGCAAGUCAUCAGCUUGCGUUGAUUACGUCCCUGCCCUUUGUACACACCGCCCGUCGCUACUACCGAUUGAAUGGUUUAGUGAGAUCCUUGGAUUGGUCCCGGGAUGGUGGGAAACUGCCGCUCCGGUGUGCUGAGAAGACGAUCAAACUUGAUCAUUUAGAGGAAGUAAAAGUCGUAACA